rnacentral:lncRNA from 1 species
GCCUUGCCCCUGGAAGGAGUGGGGGAUGAAGCUGCCUCGGUGUGACUCAGAAAACAGAUCCAGGCUUGGCAGCAGUUGAGAACUGUUUGGAAACUUCAUACAAGGUUUUGCUUUGUUUUGUUCACAGGCCCUCAGAGUAAGCUGCAGGAAUAGGCUUCCGCGGUCUUGGAUCUCCUAUUGCUCCCCCGCUCCCACGAGCUGCCGAGGAGGGCCUUUCCUGGCUUGGAGCCACACCCAACUCCUCCUCAGCGUGGUCAUCUUCUUUCCAAAAUUGAGCCUACCUACCACAGGGGGACCAGCAUUUACCACGUCAGCUCCGGGCAGAGGUGAAGGAUGACUAGAGCUGUUAAUGACCACCACAACCAAAAUACUUGUGAUCUAUCGAAUGACUCGAUUCCCACAUGGUGGAUGUCAAGUUUAGUACAUGUGUCCUGUCAUCUGAUGGCCAGAACAGCUUAAUGAAGUUCUCAAUGGAGCAGCACCAAGAAGAGGUGAGGUGGGCAGUCCUCCAGACUGAGCAAGGAAACAUUCUGAAGUUUUCAGGUGACAACAAAGGUGCCACGCAAGUUGCAGAGCCCCCUAUAUCUGAGUGCUGACUCCAGACGCCCCUCACUAAAGGCAAGCACCCCCAGCCCACUUUUGAAACUGCGGAGUGAAUAGAAGGAAAAAAAAAUCCCGGUGAGCCACCUGGGGAUGGGGGACAGGGGGAUCCCCAC